UGAGGUAAUCCAUCCCCCUCACAGGUGUGGCAUAUCAAGAUGCUGAUUUGACAGUAUGAUUAUUGCAAAGGUGUGCCUUAGUCUGGCCACAAUAAAAGCAACUCUUGAUAUGCCACACUUAUGAGGUGGAUGGAUUAUCUCA